GAUGAAGAACGUAGCGAAAUGCGAUAAGUAAUGUGAAUUGCAGAAUUCAGUGAAUCAUCGAAUCUUUGAACGCAUCUUGCGCUCCUUGGUAUUCCGGGGGGCAUGCCUCUUCCAGCGUCAUUUCACCCCUCAAGCUCUGCUUGGUUUUGGGCCGCGCCGGCAACGGCGGGCCUCGAAAAUAGUGGCGACGCCAUCGUGCUCUCAGCGUAGUAAUUCUUCUCGCUGUUGGGUCCCGGUGGUCGUCCGCCAGCAACCCCCAACUUUCUUAAGUUUGACCUGGGAUGAGGUAGGGAUACCCGCUGAACUUAAGCAUAUCAAUAAGCGGAGGA
rnacentral:misc_RNA from 1 species